GCGCUCGGGGCCAGGCCUCCUCGGGAGGCCGGAGUUCCCAGCAGGGCCCCGCGGGCCGCGGCGGAGAUGCGGGGGGCAGACGCCGAGGCUGCGUGCCGUCCGCGCUGAGCCCGGUCCAGGCAGCCGUGCUCCCUCAGGCUUUGCCGCUACAUAGUCCCCGGGGCCUGCCCACGCGAGACAGUGCGUGCCGAGGCUCAAGGAGGCGCGAGCGACGAAUGGUGGGCAGGGGCCGGGAGCCGACCUGACCGGGAAGAGGUAGCAUCGACCUCCCCGGGGCCUCCCACACCCGUCUCCGGACCAUGUUCUGGGUGGCUUUACGCAUAAGGAGUGGGAAGAUAAGGAGACCUGGAAAGCAGCUCACCCUCACACAGAUGUGAACACAACACCCCAUGGAAGUGCCCGCAGUGCCACAGCUGGGAUUACUGCGGUUGCCAAUGAAAAAGACAGCUGUUCUGGUUGUUUCAGCUUCUGCGGCUACUGUGACCUGUGGAAACUUGCUCUUGUACAGAGGCAGAAUGACUUCUGCAGUCCAGAGACAGCAUCAAUUCUUCUGAGUCUGCAGCCUGAAGACUGGAUUUGACCACCUCCAUGACAGAAGUGAGGUUCACUGGCUAUGUAAUAAACACAACAUAAUAAAUAUCUUCAUUUGUAAGCAU